UUGGUUUGUUACCGGUGGUCGGCUCUGCAACAACUUCCACCUGACAUGCAUAUUCGUUCGUUGGUUAAUGCUUUGAUUGCUUGAUCAAAUUGUGGGUUUCUUGUGUUGCAUACCUAACAUACGGUAUUUAGUUGGCUUAUCUUAAGAUUUGUUCGUCUUUUGUCAUGCUUAUGACCUUAGAGGAACCCUAAACCUGUCUCUUUGAACCACAUCAUCGGCCCUUUUUUUGAUGUAGUGGCGCAUUGAGCCUUGCUUGGUCUCUUUGAUGUAGUGCUUGAUGUGGGCAUGGGUCUUGUGGGAUCCUUGUUAUGUCCCUGUUUUGUGUUCACWCUCCCUAAAAUGACUGCUUGGCACGUGUUGGCUUGUAAAAAUGUGUCGGGCUUUGUCKAAGAGGAAAUGUKACCUGGU
rnacentral:misc_RNA from 1 species